GGAGGUGGUGGCGGCCGCCAUGUUGAUGGCGUGGGACGCUUUUAGCUCGGGAGGAGCGGCCGGGGAACCGGGUUAAGAUGUCGGAAAAGGGAGAGGGUGGGGGUCAGGUGUUGGUUCAGGGGGCGGAAAGAGCUUGUGCGAGGAGGUGAGAGGGAAGGGGGAGGCUGAGGAGGCGCGGCGGGUUGUGGAGGGCCCUGAAGGACAUCGUGUAGCGGCCGGUUGCCCCUCAGGGCCCGCCGGCUCUUGGUACAGCAGUGUCUCUGCGUGGCGGGAGCGAGGUGGGAGUCUGUUCCCGGGGCUCGCCCCCUUUGCGGGCCGGAGGGGGGCCCUGCGCCCCGGCAGCGGGGCCCUGAGGCGGGCGGGCCGAGGCGGCGCGGGAGCGGGGCCCGCUGAGGUGGGUCUGUGGAAGGAGCUGGGGACGGGACGGUCGGUUGAAAGGGGCUGCCCGUCGCGGUUGUGAGGGCAGGUCGGCAGGCGGCCGCGGGGCUUGUCGCGGCUGGGACGGGGCUAGGUGUGGAGGGGGAGGCUGCUGCGGGCGGCGGGAAGCCGGGGCGGCUCCGGCGGCCCUCGGGGUUGGGCUCAUUGCGCCCUCCGGGGAGGGGGGGGCCCCGUGCGGGGGCUGGAGCUGCCGAGGCGUUCGGCCUCUGCCUGGGAUGAAGUACGGGCUGUGAUUUAGAGAGCAAGGCUGAGCUCUUGGCCUGGCCUUGGUGGGGCAGGCCCUCGGCAGGGAGCGGGCUGGGACGUGCCCUUGUCACACGCCAGGUGACAGGCUGUGGUUGCUGAUUUGGGGCUCUUUUAAGGGUUGUGGCUUCUGUCUGAUGUCUUAACCGCACUAACGGUGUUUGGCUGUCAUACAUAUGUGGCUUAGUGUGACCAGCAGGAGGAGCUUUGCUCCCUCCUAAAGGCAGCUGACGUCGGUAUGUCUAUAGAGACAUAAACCAACCUUGAAAAAGCUCAGAGAAUGGAUGAGACGGGGUAAGACCUCUCAGCAUGGUAUGGGAGCAGCCAAGCUAAUUUGCUUCCCUGUUUUUUUACGUGUUGCUUGCUGUCUAGUGAUGGCAUGGCUUAGCCAGCUGACUAGGUGCUGUCUGAGUUUCAGCAUACCCUAUGGCUGGCGUGUAGGAGGUAGGCUAGAUUUUGAGCAUCAGGUUGUAGACUUUCCUGUACUGAACAUCAUCCCUGCUUGUGCUAGUCUCCGUGUCAGGGAAUGGGAAAUGAUUAAGUAAGUCUCUGUUAGGCUUAAGAGGACUGGAGUUACCUGAAAUAACGUGUGGAAGAUCUUUGCUCAAAACUGGGACAGAGGACACUCAAAUGUUUGCAUGGCUUGUGAAAUAACAGCAUUUCUAGUUACAGCUGAUUCCUGUGAAAUAAAGUGCUUUAUUACCUCAAGAAGAUACUCCAUUAAAAAGAGUUGUGAAGAGUUUCAUGGGCUUGCUGGAAGUCUUGGCUAAAGUCCACUAGUGGUAUAGUUCAGGAAAAAGGGGGUUACAAGUUUUUAUUUCAUACUUUGGCUGCUCCUGGAGGUAAGUACAAUGCAUUUGCUCAGGAUGUUGUCUCACAAUAACUACAUGGGUAUAGUAGUCUGUUUACCCCUGGAUGCACUUGAAUGAUGGAGGAAGGAUGUCAUGAAAUGUUCUGUGACACAAUUACAAAUUACUUAAUCCGAACCUUGCAGCCUUUCAAGAUUUGUUGAUACUAUGACAAUGUGUGCCACCUUCCAUCUCUUUAAAUCCAGCUCACUCCAUUUAAAGAAUCUGUACCAGUUGCUUGCCUUCCCCAUUCUCCUGUAAAAUGUCUGGUGUCCUGGGACAGGAGGUGCUUCUUCCCACCCUCAGUUUUGCCAUGUUCAUCACUGAAGAAAAAGAGUGGAGACAGUAUAAUGCUUUGUUGCUACUAAAACUUUUAGUAAUAGUUGCAUACAUCUGAAGAAUUUGGAAUUAAAAGUACAGCCCCCUUUUUCUUUUCUACUUCUGAUUCUUCUCUACACAGAUACCUUUAGAUUAGGUAUGCUGUGGGCACAAAAAAGGGACAGUGGCAUGAUGACUUCCGUCACAACGUUUGCCCACAGUAGACUUUAAGCCUAUGCUUGUGUCUGCAGCUGAUGCCAAGUAAUGAUGGUAAGUGUUGCAGUGGGAUAAUUGGAGGGGAGCUUGCUUGUCUUUUCUAUAUCUGGCAUAAAACAUGUAUGUGAAAUCUUCAGGAUAAGUCUGCUGACCUAAUGGCAGUAUGCUUUGUUAUUUACACUGGUCUAGAAACAAUUGGUGUCACCUGCAUUUGAUUCCUUCUCUUUCUCCUUUCCCUCCUUGUUUCAGUGCUGCUGCUCUAGGGAGGAGACAAGGAUGCAUCCUGCUUUACAGAUAACUUUAUUCACUGUUUUUACCAUGUUUCUUUAUCUGAAGAUGUAGAUGCCAGUGGUGUCUCAGCUAAGAGUUGCUAUAGCAUAUUGAAAUGUAGAAAAAAGGAACUGACUUCAGAAACUGCCCAAAUGAAUGCCUGAUGCGAGAGACAAGUAAAAUAGUUUUCUGUGAGUGUAUAGUUCACUUUCAUCAGUUUGGGGGUGUCUGAUACUUCUCAGUGUAUGGAUCUUACUCAUUGAUCACAACUUGUCAGAGAUGGUAAUGAUGAAACCUGUGUUACAUGGCUCAAACUUGGAUACUCUGUUCACCUGAAAGCGCUAAUGUCCCAAGUCUUUUCCAACCCAGCAGGUCUUAAUUGCAAGAUCUGCAAGGAGCUUACAGUCCUGUUGCAUAAAUAAGUGUUGUCUCAGCGUUUCAUAUGAAAAGACAUAAGGUGAUGAUAGAAUUGAAAGCCUGCCUUUAGCAUUUCAUAAAUAUGUGGGUGUACUCUGGUUUAAUACCGUGAAUGAAAACUUACUCCAGUGUCUAUAUGGUCCUGAGCCGAUGAAGCUGUUAUGUUUGAGUAUGCUUGGACUACUACGCUGACAUCCUACACUGCAGAAACUAUGGGUUGUCUUUGUUACUAAAGUGAUUUUGGUCACUGUGGACUCGGGUAAGUAACCACUCAGUGUCCUGAAAACCAAGAGAAGCAGUUGGGAGACCCUGCAGGAGGGAUGCAGAAGAUAAGGAUAAGUAGGAAUGUGUGAUGCCUUUGCUCAAAGAAGAAAUGGCUUAAUCUAAGUUUAAUGUAAGUUCACAGGCAGAAACCUGGCUUCAUAUCUCAGCUUUCAUUCUGACAAGUUCUUCCUCUUAAUGAAAACUUCAGGGAUUUGGAUGCUCUAAAUUGAGCUUUCACUGGAUAGUAUACCAAAACCAGCUCUGCAGUUUGCAUGAGAGACACAUGAAUUUAUGAGAUUAAGUGUACAAAUAUGUUAUGUGUCAACAUAAUUUUUAAGGUGUCUGAUGUUCUACUGUCAUGGUGUCAACAUCCCUGUCAGUGCAGCAUGGAGAACUGGCAGGAUGUUGGGAUUCUCGGUUCUUGCAAAUUAAUUGUCAGGCCUUGCAUAAUUCCUGUAUGCAAAUUAGUUGGAUGAAAAUAUUUUCAUGUGCACUCAAACAAUAUGGUUUCUAAGGGUGAUUGAUACGAUCUAUGCUAGUCUUGGCAUGUAAGUUUAGUUUUGAAAUCCCAUUUUCUUAAUUACCCAGCUAUAAAACUUAGUUGUCCACAGUCUCCUUGGAGGAAGGAGGAGAGUUGAAGUGUCACUGACCAACUGCUUACUUCAAAGCCUAUGGGGGAAGGGUGUAAAUUCUAACAUCAAAGUUACUGCUUAGAUUCUAGAGGCUGGAGAAGCUGCGAUGAAGGUUUUUUGUUUAUAAUUGUCUUCCAUGAAGCUAUUUCCCAAAGAGUUACUGGAGCUGCAAGGUGAAAGGUGAGAAUGUGAAUUCAGCUGGGUAGAAUAGGUAAGUACUUCUAUAUUGUGUUAUUGUUUUCAAGUAUCUUAAUGAUAACAAUACAGAAAAAUAGGUUGUGUUGUCUACUUUGUUCUUGAACAGGCAGAGCUUGGAAAAACAGGUAAGAGUGGAAGGCUUCUCUGUCUUUUUAAGUGUUCUCAAUGAAAUUGUGGGGAGGCGGCUGUUAAACCAGUUUCUGGAAGAACCUAGUAUUCCUGUAUAGCCAGAAAAGUUUGUAAAGCUUCUCUGGAAGUAAUUCUAGUGACUAAUUAUAAAGUGUCAACUUUUUUUAUCUUUCAGCACAAGAGGAGUGCUCUAAGAGCAGUCAAGAACCUCUUCAGGUAGCAUGGACAUGUUCUUCAACUGAAACAUGGCAGCGGUUCAGUAGCAGUUAUACAACAGGAAAGGGUGUGCAGGCUACUGAAGUCCCUGGGUUCCUAAGAACUGGUAUCUGAAAGAAAACAUUCUGGUGGAGAGAAACUUGGGUUUCUUCCACAACUUUUAACUCCCUUGAAUUUGAAUGAGCGCUCAUCGAAUACUGAAACAGGACAUUACUUUUAUUGUAGGUACUGGAGAGGGGAUUGGAAUAGGGGACUUAAGUGCUAGUCAGGGCACUGUGACAGGCCUUGGAAAAACAGCAGGUAGUUUGAGUACAAGAGACUCUAGUUGUGGGAAGCUCCCUUUUGGGAAGGCACACUAGCUGUGGGGGAAACUUGCUAAGUGGAAACUCGGAAGUGUAGUAUGUUCAGCUGCUGUUUCUUGGCUGCAUAUGGAUCUCUCUCUCUUAAGGUAGGAUGGCCUGAGAUGACCACUGAAGACUACAGGGUUGUAGGCAGACCCCAUUUCUCUUCAGAGUGUGUAUGCAACUGUACAGUUUAGAACCACCUAAACAGCUUCAGUUUUCGUCAGACGAGUAUUUCCUGAUUAAUAGCUUUGCUUGGUCCAUCUAACUCCUGCAGAGCUAUCUGUCUGAUUGCAGCAGUGCUCUGAACGUAAGAAGCCUUCCUCACCUAUGGAUUGCUGGAGACUGGGACACAAACAUGACUCAUACGGGCUCCAGGGCUGAGUGUAAAUCCUUUGUUUGCUUUAGUAUACACAAUGGGUGCAAGUGAGCACUUGCAUGUGGAACAAGAAAACACUUGGGCUAUGCUGGCUCAUAUGUACUUUGGUGCGCACUGCCCUCUUCAGCACAGAACUUGAUAAAACCCUGUAUUGCAUAAAGCAGGUGGGGGGGAUAGGUUAUGCUAGGUGUGGACCUUGCUCAGUUGCCACUGAUCCUUGGAAAGCUCUUAUUUAUGUUGUGUAGUGGUAAACCGGAGUUGGUAACUGAUACUGUUCAGCCGAUGUGCGUGUCUGUGCCAGACAAGUAGUCCAUGAGCUCACAAAUCCUCAAGCAUGGUACUAUCUUUUACUCCAUUUAAAAAAAAAAAAAGAGGGUUGCAGCAGGGAAUUUUUUUAAAGGGUCACAUAAACUCUACUGAAAUUAAAAGCCCACUAAAAAUAUCUUUGUGGAAGGAAUACAUUUUGGGAAAUGAUGCAUGCUGUGUCAAAGGCAAUGUGAGGCUUUAGUUAUGGCAAUCUUCCAACACUCUUUCUUGUCCCAGUUUUUGUUGUGAGGUUCAUAGGGGAAGAGUGUUGGACGCAGGGAGAGUGUGAAAGCCAUAACCACAGGUAAAAGUUGAAUUUUAACAACUGGAAUUUAGUGUCAAAUUAUGCACCAUUUUCUAAGAAAGUCCUGCAACUAAAUUGAUAGGCUGGAGUCGCUGAUCAUGCAUGCUAGUGUUCUCAGAUUCUCCAGCUAUUUGGAUGCAGUGGUGCAAAAUUACAUGUUGUUUCCUAUAUGAUUCAGGUUAAAAUACAAGCUUUGGCAGUGUGAGUACCUAAGCAGUAUUACAGUCAGCAUUUCUUUAUGCACACAAACAAUUUCCUUCUGGGUAAGUAACACUGCACUGUGAAAAAGCACACAACUCCAGGGAGAGCAUCAUUUGAUAGCGUCUCCUGGGCACAGUUCCCCGAGUUUGCUCCUAUUCCUUGCCUUGGAUUCUGCUGUUUACCCAAACUUUAAGCCUUUCUGUGCGUUAUCGCUGGUUGGCUCUCUCCCACCACCUGAUUGUUUUUUGCCGUUUCUCUGCAAAUACAUCUUCCUGGAAAACGGGGACCAACAGUAAGUAUCUCUGGUUCCUGGCCAAGUUUCCACUCGCAUGGUUUCACUUGCUCUGUUCUGUCAAGUUAUUUACAUGCAGUGUUCUAAGGAUGUAAUUUAGCGGACUGCUAGUAAGCAGCUAACCUUUAUGUCUUGGCCCCAGUCCACAUAGGUCAGGUUUACACAAGCCUGCUUCCUCACGAUUAAUUCAGUGGCUACUCUUACAGCCCUGGGUUACCUGUUGCAUGACUUUAUGAAAAAGAUAGUGUUAGGCUGCUCUCAGAGCCUUGAGAAAGGACAUGCUAGGAUUGCUCACUUUACCUACUGAGUUGCAUGAGCCAGAAUCUCUUUUGAAUCUUCUGCAUACACAAGACCUAAGGCUGUCAAGGUGAGAAGGUUAUGUUUUUCAUGUCUUAAGAGGUCUGAUGUGCUGCAAUAGAGGAGAGGCUUUUCAAAACCAGCAUAGAGGUGUGAAGCUUCCUAUUUAAGCUGCCUAGCUCAAAGUACAGUCUUAUUCUCAGGUUCUGGAUUUCUGCAUAUCAGAGUUGUUUUGUAUCCGGUGGAGCUGUCUUGGGCAUGCAUUCGCAGGAGUUGCCUUAUCUGAGCUCCCUGCUUUGAGCUCUCAGAAAAUACAGUUGCAUGGUGCAGAGCCUGUGGUGGCAUUGCUGGUUGAAGGAGUUCGGUGUUAUCUUUUGCCCCUUGCCUUCCUGUGCCACAGUACGCCAUUCCCUUUCAUGCGAACGCAACUAUCUGCAAGGGCACAGUGAGCUAUCAGUGUCUUAAUCAGGGUGUUGACGCACCCUCCCUGCCCUGUGUAUGCUUUUCAGUGACUCAGUGACUUCAGUGAAGCAGAGGAGGUUUGCAGUUGUGCGACUUUCUAAAACCUGGAUCGGGUCUCAUGACCCAGUCAAAUGUUUCGCUGCGUGUAGCCUUCUGACCAGGCAGCGGGAGCUCGAGAAACCCUGAUGUCUGUAAGCAGCACUGGUGAUUGCUAGAUGCAGUCCAGACAAAUCCCAGUGGGAGAGGAGAGAGAGAGUAAGAUGCGGACCAGUUUUCCCUUAAGUUUGGGGUUUUUUGACUGUUACAGAGAGUACCAAUGUGUUCUCUUAUGAUGGAACUAAUUUCUUACAUUUAGGGAGUUGUAUUUACCCCUGCACACAUUGCCAAAUAUCCCUUUUACAUUUAAUGGCAGAGUAGAUCUGCAAAAAAGAGAAUUGGGUACUAAAAUGUUUCACAUACAGUAGACAAAAAGCCUAGUCUCAGUUUUCCACGUCAACAUUUUUGCAGUGCUCCUGAUAUGAGUGAAGUCAGCUUUGCUACUGUGAAUUCUUGCAAUGCAAAUAGGAUUUACUGCCUCCAUUCUGAUAAUGGCGAAUGUUGUCUGAUGAGGACAAUGUGGUGGCAGCUGCUUCAGAGUGAUGUGCAGUGGCUUCGCUGUACUUGCUCUGCUUUAGCAAAUGUCAGCUAAAAUAGUAAUUGCGUCCCCUAAGAGUUAGAUUAUUGCUGCUGAUAACCUUUGUGGAAAAACAAAUGAGGGGAAAUAGAGGCAGAUGCAAUCCUCAUAUGAAUUGGCAGAAGGGUGUUGCACAGCCAAGGGAGUACUACUUCUCACUGGGGAUGAAGGGCAGUCGUGCUUUACUAGCUCAUAUCAGUGAGGUCCACUUAGCCUCCUGCAAAUUCCUGCCCACUGAAAGCUCUUCUCAUCUCCAGGGUAGACUGUGACUGGAGCAACCACUGUUGCAGUGCUGCCUCCUGGAAACAAGUGGGUGAGGAAAGAGAGUUUAUUUUAGUAGGUCCAAUGAAAAUAAAUGAAUUUGCUUACUCUUCAUGAUAAAUAAUUACAUAUAUUUAUACAAUAAUAAUUUAUAAAUACCUGGAAAUAUAGACAUAUAUGUAUAUAAAUGUAUAUAUUUAAAUAUAUACAUUAUUGUAUAUAUUAAUGAAUAUAUUAAUAAUUCAUAAACUCACAGUUUAUAAAUAAAUUAAUAAGCUGGAGAAUCUCAGAAAAAUAGAGGAGCUCAGUGUUGCCAACAGACUCCUGGGAUGGAGUAGCUGUUCCCUCUUGAGAACAGAUCAAACGUGACAGUCUGCUCCCCAACAAAUACAGUUUGUGUGAAUCAUCUUGUUUUGUUAAAGUUUCUAAUCAUGUCUGUCUUUUAAACUCUCAUCCUUGAGAAGGUUAUUCGUCUGUGGAUUAACCUUGUCAUGAGUACUGAGGCAUGUGACCUGCUUGGCCAUGGAAGCAGGUAUGUGUGGGGUCUCUCACAAGUUUCUGUCAACACUUAAGUGUUGUGGCUCUCCAGAAUGGAUAACGUUGCUGCCAUUCAUUCUGAGUGGCAUUGCAGCCUUGUUCACAUGGGUUUGACGGUAUCUCAAAUAUCCUAGCCUUUCGCUAUAGUCAGUUCUCUGUAAUCUGAAGGUAAAUUUAGGUACAAAUCAUGACAGCCAAGAUGCUGGGUUUGGAAUAUGCCUGCCUCCCUGUAAUAUUCAGUCGUGCUCUCUGGUAUGGGUGGAUCUGCCGCUUGGGUGCAGUCGAUUUACCAGUCUUACUUCUCCGAAAUGAAAUGUGCACCCUGAAUUUUCCCUGUGCCACGGUAGUGCUUUACGUGCACAAGCUUCAGGUAAUGUUCGCCUCUGUGGGAUGCAAAGGGAUGGCUAUCUUAGUCUUCCCUGAAUUUACUCAGUGUUCAGUGACGUAGCAGGGAAUGCAAGGCACUAUUUUGCUCCUGUCCACCACCCACAAAUGGCAUUUGGUUUUGGUGACCCUUUUGUUUCUAGCUAACACAUAGGUGUUAAGGGAGGUUUUGUACCAACACACAGGUUUUCCAAACUUUGGGGUUUUUCCUUCUCUGUAGUAUCUCCCUGUCACCCGUACAUAGUACAUCGCAGUCAGUGAUCCAUCUGUAGGUUAUGCCCUGAUGUGUAUGAGCAGCCCUGCGAUAAUUCCCCACUUGUUUAGCUGCGUGGAGCUGGUGAUUCCGGUUGCUGCAGAAUUCUAGCCAUUGCAUGCCAUCAUCAUAAAGAAGAAAAAAGAAAGCUUGGAGGAAAGAGCCCUCCUUUCCUUCUUGUCUAUUGGGAUGUCCUGAACAGCUCCAGAGCUGGUGCAGGGGUCUGACCAGAUGCUGCCCUUCAUCCGUCCCCUGCCCUGGGUGGUGGGACAGCAGCACCCUGUGGUGGAGGAGGUGAGGGGACACCAGUCUCAAGAGGUGCUGUCCUCUACCUUUGUCACUUACUGUCCACGUGGCUUCUAUGUCCCCCUUCCUGAAGCUCAUUCCCAUUCUUGUUUGAAAACAGCUGCUCUAAUAUGACCCUUUAGCACAAGUAGUCUUUAGAUACAGGAGGCUGGGAUGUGUCUUGGCGUGCCAUCAGAUGAACUUUUUUCAGGUCCUUAUGUAGUUUGUAACAAAGGGGACAUUAAUGUGGGCAAGGUCCAAGAAAUACCUUUGCAAAGUCUUGUGUGUGACCUCUGCUAAAUUUGAUAAAGUCUUCUCUUUAGUGGCACCAUGAUCAGAUAUUCUUCCAUGGCCCUAUCGUGGUGGUCUUGCAUUAGGGUUUUGAAAUGCUCUGCUAAGUAAGAAGGCCCUGAUGCGCUCACAAUGUGAAGAUGGCUCUACGCUUUUUUCAAGGGUCCUUCAGAGCAGGUGUUGGUGGGAAGCACACGUUUGACCCUUCUCCAUUUUUUUUUUUUAGUAGAUGUUUCAGCCUCAGAGAAUCCUUACAUAUUCUGUGUAACUUACAAUCAAUUACGUUUCUCCAUUUUGUACAAAUAUGACCAGUUUUAUGCAAAGGCAUAGAAAUGACAUUUCUUAGUAGGCAUUUCUUCCAUGUUUUAUAUUACAGCUGCAUGUAUCCACAUUAGAUAAGUCAGGAAUAUUUGAAUAACAGAUGUUAAAAUUGGGUCAUAAACCACAAGAGUCACUGAGCUCAGACUUCAGAGGAACUGGAUCCUCUCCUGGUACAUUCACUGGGCAAAUAAUUUAUACCUCGAUCAUGUUUUGCACUGGAGGACAUCUGUGUGAAUAUUCGGCUGCUGCUACUCCAGCAUCUCUUACCUCUGGGACAAAUUCUUCUGGUUCCCGUUGAAUCUUGGGGCGGUGGUUGGGGAAGAGAUCUAAUAACACUUUAAAGGUAUGUGGAAGGUGCUCUCCAUGUGCUGAGUUUCAUAUUUUUAACCUUUACAUUUUAAAAAUUUAAAGUAGCACCUUCCAUUUCCUAAACUGAUGACACCUGAAGAUAAAUAGAUCUCUACAGCCAAUUGCCUCCAAUAUGUCAAAGACAGAAGUGCCAUUUUGCAGAUACCCAGUGAAGAUGCAGAAGCAUGGUAUUGCUGGGAACCAAGCAAUCACCACUAAAAUACAAUAGUGCCACAACUUGUCAGCAGGCUGAGCAAACCCAGCCCUUCUUACAAUGUUGUGCCUACAGUGUUCUGUCUAAAAACUAUUAGCCCUUGGAAAACUAGUUGACAACAUUUUAAAGAGGAGAAUCAAAUACUUAAGAGUACCUCUAUAGGGUUUUCCCCAUUUUAAUGCACUCAUAAAUGUAGCCAAAUACCACUCCCACUUUAAUAAAGAUUAUAUUGGAAGGCCGCUGUAGAUAAAAUGUAGCUUCUUGAACCAGUUUUAAUUACUCAUCUGUUUUCAUAGCCAGUUUGUGGCAUCAGUGGAUAUGUUCACGUUUCUAAGUCCAAGACAUAAAAUGGCUUUGUGUUAUUUCUUUAGAGAACAGCAAAAAUCAUAAAAGGAGCCCUGAUUUUCAAAAUGGGAACAUUAGAUUUGCAUUUUUUUUUAAAUAAAAUGAAUGCAUGUGUGUGCUUAUACAGUCAAUGUUCAGGCAGGGUUUGUGGUUUACUAGCCCAUCUGUUCUGCCUAGAGAGCAGCGAAGAGAACGCAGAUUGUGUUAGCAGUCGUAAAUCCCCGUCUUUGUAUCUUGUCCCUCAUCGCAGACUCUCCUGGGGUUGUUGCUGUAAGUUUAAACCUGGGAAGGGCAGAGUUCCCCCAUUGCAGACCCCCUGGCACCUGUAAUGCUAACGGGCAGAGAGGGUCUCGGUCCCUCUGUCUCCCCGGCUGCCCACCGCUCGGGUCGCACCUCUCAAGUCUUCGGUGCAGCCAAAUACUACGUGGUGCUGCAAAAUGCACGUCAGAGGUGUUGAUCUCUGCUAGCUUUGAAAUUGGAGAGACUGCUCUAGCUGCUAGUCCACUGUACUUGUGGGUCUCUGCCAGCAGAGGGUGGCUCCAAGACCGUUUAUACAUUGCUUAACGUUUAAACAGUUUACAGGCUGAGUAUUGAGCCUGAUGACCUUAGUGCUUCCUUUAUUUCCUAAUACUCCAUUUAUCUUUAGUUAGUAAUUGUAAGAAAUUAAGUAUUUAAAAAAAGAUUUUCAUUUGAGCUUUUCCUCACUGUUUAUUUUGCUUUGGCAUUAUUCUUCCAGAUGAGAAUAGCCAAACAUUAUAAUUAAAUUUAGGAAGACAGGUUUGAGAUAAUGUUGCUAUUGAUUGGGUCCUACGUCAGUCUAGGACCAAAGCAUUUGAAAUAAAUAACUCUGUGAAUAAGUUGUCAGCGUUCUAGUGUUUAAUAGGGUUUGAAACCUAAGACAUUAGUAGUGAAUGGAAUUCAUCUGGCCAAGCUUCAGACACCUAACAGAUGCCCAGUCUGUGCUUAGGCUUUCCUUACACUCCGUGGAGAGGACUGCACACAUCCCAAGGUUGAUUUCUAUACCUCUUAACCUGAUUUAGGAAUCGGUUUACGGAACGCAAGCUAGCAGGAGCCUGAUCCCAAACAACGUUUGCACAUGUAUAAUUAUUCUCAUGUGGAGUCCCACCAUGUGCGACAGUUAAUGACUAGACAGUUAAUUAUGUGAGUAACUAUUAUGCUGGAAUGGGCUCAAUUCUCGUGCUUGUGUUACAGGGAGACUAAUUUGUCUCUUGAGAUGUCUGUUCCUUUCUGCUGGCUACAGAGGGAGCAGAGGUUAGACUAGCUCAAAGUUAGACUUCUAACGUACACAUCUACCUGAGAUACAUCUCACCCACGGUGUCUACAGGCUGGUGUUACUAAUAUUGGGUAAUACUCUGCCUCAUCUUUAAAGGCCUGUAGACACUUAAUAGAUUUUAUCGAUCUGAUUUCAAAUCCAAUGGCAUAAAGUGUGACAGUUACUUCUGUAAUUAGUAGAUAGUCAUUAACUUCUCUGAAAUCAGUGGAAUUCCACAUGGGACCAAUUGCACAUGUAUAAGUAGUUCAGGCUGUUGUCGACUGGAGAUCUGUUAGGAAGCUGUACAUAAUAAAAGGUAGUAGUAAGUGAUGAUGGAAAAUUUAUCAUGUUCUAAUAUAUAGUGAUUUAUAUUCUCUGUUAGAUGGUCUGUUGAGAAUUCUCCUGCAUGUAUUUAAGUAGUUUUAAAAGGUUUGAAUAAAAAUUCCUGUCAGUGAUUUCAGUUUAUUUACCACUCAGAACCUAUGUUUUCAAAACAGAACUCCUAUCUAAAGUUCUUUAAUUUUCAAAAAAAACUGAGUAUACCAGCAGUCUUCAUUUUGAACUGUUCGGAAGUAUAGCACAGGUGAAGCCUUAGUAUCUACUAGGGUUGGUAACAUUCCUCUCUGCAGAAAUAGAGCAACCCAGUGACCAACUCAAGCAAAAGAUGGAAGAGGCAUCUUCCAUAAUGGCUACAAUCAGCAGAUAACCUCUGGCUUUCCCUUCCACAAAACACAGGCAAUACCAAACACACGAGUGGGAUUUGCAUCCUCCUCUUCUGCAGGGAUCAAGCCUUUUGAACCAGUUUCCAAAAA